GUGGGGAAUCUUGCGCAAUGGGCGAAAGCCUGACGCAGCCAUGCCGCGUGGAUGAUGAAGGUCUUAGGAUUGUAAAAUCCUUUCACCGGUGAAGAUAAUGACUGUAGCCGGAGAAGAAGCCCCGGCUAACUUCGUGCCAGCAGCCGCGGUAAUACGAAGGGGGCUAGCGUUGCUCGGAUUUACUGGGCGUAAAGGGCGCGUAGGCGGACAUUUAAGUCAGGGGUGAAAUCCCGGGGCUCAACCUCGGAACUGCCUUUGAUACUGGGUGUCUUGAGUAUGAGAGAGGUGGGUGGAACUCCGAGUGUAGAGGUGAAAUUCGUAGAUAUUCGGAAGAACACCAGUGGCGAAGGCGACACACUGGCUCAUUACUGACGCUGAGGCGCGAAAGCGUGGGGAGCAAACAGGAUUAGAUACCCUAGUAGUCC
rnacentral:rRNA from 1 species